GGAGGGAUCAUCAAAGAAUUACACAUAUACCCAAGUGUUUUGGUUGGCGUGCUUUUUCUAGCGUGCUUUCCAGGCACUUUAAACAAACGAUCACAACUAGAGAAUGAGAUUGACUUGGUGUGUCUGUGCAGGUAUUUCGAGGGGAGACAAGACAAAAGUGUUUGCCUGAUAAUACAUUGACUUGGACAAUAUAUACAUAUACAACUUUCAACAACGGAUCUCUUGGCUCUCACAUCGAUGAAGAACAUAGCAAAGUGUGAAAAUUAAUGUGAAUUGCAGAAUUCAGUGAAUCAUUGAGUUUUUGAACGCAUCUUGCACUCCUUGGUAUUCCAGGGAGUAUGCCUGGUUGAGCAAUGUGAACAUAUCCAUCAGUUUCUCUCUUUUUGUGAGAGAUAUGAGACUGGAUCUGAGUGUUUACCUUGUCUUGGUUCUUGCUGGGCUGGAUGGGUGUGUGUGUGUGUGUGUGUGUGUGUGUGUGUGUGUGUGUGUGUGUGUGUGUGAUUUUGGGGCUGACUUUCGGGUCAAUCUCUGUCUGCACACACACACACACACACACACACACACACACACACACACACACACACACAGACAGCCAGUCUCUCAGUUAUAUCACAGUCGCGAAACAAGAAAACAAGGUUCACUUGAAAUGAAGCGAGAGAGAGAAACAACGACAACAGGAACUUGACAUGUAAAAAGACAGACAAGCACGAGAACCUCUUUGGAGGGGAUCAGGAGAAUUGGCUUGAUCAUAACAAUGACUGGAUGAAUAAGAAACAGCAGCCAUAUCCUCUGUGAGACUCUGCUCUCGCAUGGGACAUGGAGGUUGGAUCGGUUUAACAAGGUCUUGUUUAGAGCCUCUUUUCUGCGAGUCCAUCUUUGUCAAGAAAAAAGACUGUGUGUGUGCGUGUCUCUUUUUCUCACAACUAGGAAACGAGUGGAGGCAUUUACAUGUCCCCCACUCCCUCAUCAUCAUCAUUCUCAACUCAGGCAAGACUACCCGCUGAAUUUAAGCAUAUAAAUAAGCGGAGGAAAAGAAACUAACAAGGAUUCCCUUAGUAACUGCGAGUGAAGCGGGAAAAGCUCAACUUUGAAAUCUACCAAGAGUAAUAUUCUUGGUCGAAUUGUAGUUUCAAGAAAGAGUGGCUGAGAGAAGUCAGUUGGGUGCAAGUUCCUUGGAAUGAGACAUCAGAGAGGGUGACAAUCCCGUCCACCGUCCUUCUGUUUGCUUCUCACCAAAGGCCCUCUUUUCAAAGAGUCGAGUUGUUUGGGAUUGCAGCUCAAAAUGGGUGGUAAAUUUCAUCUAAAGCUAAAUAUGGGUGAGAGACCGAUAGCGAACAAGUACCGUGAGGGAAAGAUGAAAAGCACUCUGAAGAGAGAGUGAAAAGUACGUGAAAUUGUUGAAAGGGAAACGCUUGAAACCAGUCAAGGUUGGCUAGAUUUCAGGAGAGCCAUGUGUUGGGCGGGGCGGGUAUGGAGAUUGAUCCUCGUGGUUAACUCUGUGCUGGCUUCAGCCUGGCCGUACUCUCUGUACGUUUCUAGCAAACGAGUCAGCAUCAGUUUGGACUUGCUUGGGAAAAAGCUUCUGGGAUUUGGUCGGGCUUUUGUGGGCCUUUUGGCCCUUGAAGGUCUGGAGCCUGGAAGCCAUCAUACCAAGCGCUAGACUGAGGACUGCAGUACGGGGCAUUGUCUUGGACUAGACUGGCCUGCGGUGCCGCUUUGGGUAAACAGCUUGCUGAUUGCUCAGAGCGUUGUCACUCGGGACGGUCCUAUCCAAGCGGGCUUCCGACUCUGGAUGUUGACGAAAUGGUUUUAAACGACCCGUCUUGAAACACGGACCAAGGAGUCUAACAUGGAUGCAAGUAUUUGGGUGAUUGGAAACCCAUAUGCGCAAUGAAAGUGAACUCUUGAUGGGUAGGACGCUGAGCGGUGUGUCCUCUCACGAGGCGCGCGCCUGGCCGCACUAUCGACCAAUCUUAAAUAGCUUCGGCUUGCUAGAUUUGAGUAAGAGCAUGCAUGCUGGGACCCGAAAGAUGGUGAACUAUGCCUGAAUAGGGUGAAGUCAGACGAAAGUCUGAUGGAAGCUCGUAGCGAUUCUGACGUGCAAAUCGAUCGUCGAAUUUGGGUAUAGGGGCGAAAGACUAAUCGAACCAUCUAGUAGCUGGUUCCUGC
rnacentral:misc_RNA from 1 species